AGUCCACAUCGACGGGGAGGUUUGGCACCGCGAUGUCGGCUCAUCACAUCCUGGGGCUGUAGUAGGUCCCAAGGGUUGGGCUGUUCGCCCAUUAAAGUGGUCCGCGAGCUGGGUUCAGAACGUCGUGGGACAGUUCGGUCCCUAUCCGUCGCAGGCGUAGGAAAUUUGAGAAGACCUGUCCUUAGUACGAGAGGACCGGGAUGGACGUACCUCUGGUGUACCAGUUGU
rnacentral:rRNA from 1 species